rnacentral:rRNA from 1 species
AUUGAACGCUGGCGGCAUGCCUUACACAUGCAAGUCGAACGGCAGCGGACCUUCGGGUGCCGGCGAGUGGCGAACGGGUGAGUAAAGUAUCGGAACGUACCUUUCAGUGGGGGAUAACGUAGCGAAAGUUACGCUAAUACCGCAUAUUCACUGAGGAGGAAAGCAGGGGACCUUCGGGCCUUGCGCUGAUGGAGCGGCCGAUAUCCGAUUAGCUAGUUGGUGGGGUAAAGGCCUACCAAGGCGACGAUCUGUAGCGGGUCUGAGAGGAUGAUCCGCCACACUGGGACUGAGACACGGCCCAGACUCCUACGGGAGGCAGCAGUGGGGAAUUUUGGACAAUGGGCGAAAGCCUGAUCCAGCCAUGCCGCGUGAGUGAAGAAGGCCUUCGGGUUGUAAAGCUCUUUCGGCCGGGAAGAAAUCGUGUGGGCUAAUACCCUGCAUGGAUGACGGUACCGGAAUAAGAAGCACCGGCUAACUACGUGCCAGCCGCCGCCGUAAGAC